UACGAAGGGAGCUAGCGUUGUUCGGAAUCACUGGGCGUAAAGCGCGCGUAGGCGGCUUUGCAAGUCAGGGGUGAAAUCCCACAGCUUAACUGUGGAACUGCCUUUGAAACUGCAAAGCUGGAAUGCGAGAGGGGAUGGCGGAAUUCCUAAUGUAGAGGUGAAAUUCGUAGAUAUUAGGAGGAACACCGGUGGCGAAAGCGGCCAUCUAGAUCGCAAUUGACGCUGAAGUGCGAAAGCGUGGGUAGCAAACAGG
rnacentral:rRNA from 1 species